CGACCCCGCAAGGGGAGUGGCAGACGGGUGCGUAACACGUGGGAACAUACCCUUUGGUUCGGAAUAACUCAGGGAAACUUGAGCUAAUACCGGAUAAGCCCGAGAGGGGAAAGAUUUAUCGCCAAAGGAUUGGCCCGCGUCCGAUUAGCUAGUUGGUGAGGUAACGGCUCACAAAGGCGACGAUCGGUAGCUGGUCUGAGAGGAUGGCCAGCCACACUGGAACUGAGACACGGUCCAG
rnacentral:rRNA from 1 species